rnacentral:rRNA from 1 species
CCUACGGGAGGCAGCAGUGAGGAAUAUUGGUCAAUGGACGCGAGCCUGAACCAGCCAAGUAGCGUGAAGGAUGACUGCCCUACGGGUUGUAAACUUCUUUUAUAUGGGAAUAACAUGUUCCACGUGUGGGAUUUUGUAUGUACUAUAUGAAUAAGGAUCGGCUAACUCCGUGCCAGCAGCCGCGGUAAUACGGAGGAUCCGAGCGUUAUCCGGAUUUAUUGGGUUUAAAGGGAGCGUAGGUGGAUUGUUAAGUCAGUUGUGAAAGUUUGCGGCUCAACCGUAAAAUUGCAGUUGAAACUGGCAGUCUUGAGUACAGUAGAGGUAGGCGGAAUUCGUGGUGUAGCGGUGAAAUGCUUAGAUAUCACGAAGAACUCCGAUUGCGAAGGCAGCUCACUAGACUGCAACUGACACUGAGGCUCGAAAGUGUGGGUAUCAAACAGGAUUAGAUACCCGGGUAGUC